CACACACAAGCUUACUAUAGACCAGCUCACUGUCACACACACAUGCUCACUACAGACAAGCUCACUGAUGCGCACACACUCUCCCUACAGACAAGCCUAUUGACACACACGCUCCCUACAGAAGAGCUCACUGACACACACAUGCUCACUACAGACAAGCUCACUGACACACAUAUGGUCACUACAGACAAGCUCACGAUCACACUCAUGCUUACUACAGACAAGCUCACUGUACACACAUGCUCACCACAGACAGGCUCCGACACACCCAUGCUCCUUACAGACAAGCUCACUAACACACACACACAUAUGAUCCCUACAGACAAGCUCACUGACACACAUACAAGCUCACUCACUAGCAGGCACACACCCACACACACAAACUCACUAGCAGGCACACACACAGAGGCUCCCUCACUAGCAGAUGCGCGCACACACACACAGAGGCAGACAGCCACUGACACCCAGGCAGACAGUCACUGACAC